AGUAAAUUCGCUCAAAUAAGCCGCUUGAAGUUCGAAUUUGGCAGAGAGUUCUUCAUAAGAAUCAUUCAUUGAACUGAGGAGAAUAAGUCUGGGAAUUUGAAUCAACCUUUUCCGUCUGAAAAUCGAGUAGUUUCAAAGGAGAGAUUUCUCACAACUUCCAUGAAGAUCGGAAGGAGGAGUCUCGCCGACAUUCACGAAAAAGAAGCUGAAAGAGAGUGGUCAUAGAAGGCCAACUGAAUGAGGCCUCAUGCACUAGUGCCUAGGAGAGGCAGAAGGAGGGUUGCAGCUCACAAAUGGGCAUGUUUUAGAUGUGCCAAAGUGUACACACAAGAAGAAUCAGGAUGCUAACCAGCCUGCAGGGCAAAACUAGGGAGGAUAGAGAGCACUACAACACGGCAGUCAGGGAAGCCGAUGAAACAGGGAUAGCGGUGACAGGUACUCACUUACCCUAACUGUUUAGUAUUUACAACGUUGUUGGAUCCAGGUUGCAUGCAUUCAUAUAUGUUAGAAAGGAUAGAUGAACAUGCACAAUAGAGUUAGAGCCUUUAUAAUCCAUAUGAAUGUAACAUGCAUUGAUAGGGAGAAAUUUCAUAUAUGAGAGGGCGAGGCAACUCUAAAGCACUCCAAGAGUUACAAGACCGUGUUGUUCAAAUUUAUUAUAAACGGAGAAAUGAGAUUCAGAUACAUUUACAAAAUCAAACAUAAAAGACUCGAAAUACAAUAGACAGAUUGACGGAAUGACUCUCACUAUGACCAU